AAUUGCAGACAUGAUAUUGAUUUAUAAUUUUCCCAUUUGUAUUUCCAAUUCAGUUUCGGAAGCAAAAUGCUUCAAUAAACUGUCCCUAUGUCACCCCUAUGAGGUAGGCUGCCUUGAUGCGCUCUUGUGAAGAACCUACACAUUUUUUUCAUUUUAAAGGGAUCAUCCUCGCUCUGACCUCCUAUCAGCCAAUCACAUCCCAAACUACUGAAACUCGUAGUGCGCUUUUGAAAGACAACAGUGACGGACCUCUUGUAGAGUCAAGUUCAGAGAAUAUGCACGCACAUCUAUGGACGACCUUUGAUUGAUAACCACGUCGACCUUGGCAUAUCCUUUAUCAUUCUCCGUGUUUGUAUUUGAAAGGGAGAACAAGAAGAAAGAGUCCGUUAUAUUUAUAACUAAUCUAUUACAUUUGGAGAACGUCUUGGAGGUAGCUGGUGUAUAAUAUCGAAUACCCGUUCUAGUUAGGAGAAGGGACUGUAAAGAUGCGACUUCCACUUACAUUCAUUCUGAUUUGCUAACUUUGUUUGGGUUUUAAAACGGACAUGGUCAUUCAGUUCCAGCGGUCGGGAGUGGUCGGUGAGGUCAAGACCGUCGAGCAGGUAUUGAUCAGCGGAGCCGCUCUCUCCAGCAGCGAGAAAGACGUCAGCGGCAUUCUCCGUGCUGUAUUGUUGGGCAACUACAGCGAGUCUUUUCAACAGGCGUUUGAGAUAGAAGAAAAUGUCAACAACACCAUGACAAAAAAUCAUACUUACCAGUACCUGCGUGUGCAUGAAAGCAAACUGGAUGGAUUUCAGGUAGUGCAUUUGACUGACCAGCUCCUGGUUGACAGGAAUGACUUCCUGACUCUGGACCGAAACACAGACACCUGGACAGCUGAGGUACCACAGGCCCUAGCGCUCAAACAGCUUUAGGACCAGGACACUGAGCGCACAAGGCUGGACAGGAUUCAACUCCAUGAGAGCUGUGCCAAACUGAUGAAGGAGAUCACACAUUCUGAGCCCACCACCACUGGAGAUCCCAACUUUUCAGGACACCCUGGAGGUGUCCUUGGCUCCAUCGUCCACUAUCCUCAGAACGUCACAGAAACACCUCGUCCAGGAAAAGGCUAUCGGGUUCUCUAAAACCCAACGCUCCUUUCCCAAUAUACUUCUGAUGUCAACUGGUCACUACACAGCAGUGGUCUGGUCACACCCUGAUCUGUUUCACCUGUCUUUGUGCUUGUCUCCUGGUCUGUUGCCAGUUUGUCUUGUCAAGCCUACGAGCGUGGUUUCCCUAGUCUUUUUUCUAGCCCUCCCAGUUCCGACCGCCCUGACACUGAGCCUGCCUGCCUGACCAUUCAGCCUGCCCUGACACUGAGCCCACCUGCCUGACCACUCAGCCUUACCUGACCUUGUAUUUUAAUAAAUAUCAGAGGCUGGAACCAUCUGCCUCCAGUGUCUGCAUCUGGGUCUCGCCCUGUGUCGUUAUAGGUCUGGUGACCAAAAUACCUUGAUUGCAUUCUCAUUUCCUACCUUUCGACUCAAAAUGUAUGUUCACUCCUCCUUGAUAUGGUGGAAACUGCAAAUACACAUUUUGGGGUAUGGGCAUUGUAAUUCAACAAUAUAUGUUCCCUGGUCCGUCCAACUCUCUGGUCCCCGUUUCUCCCAGGGCCUUCUACCAAAUAGGGCUAUCUUCUGUAUACCACCCCUACCUUGUCACAACACAACUGAUUGGCUCAAACGCAUUAAGAAGGAAAGAAAUUCCACAAAUUAACA